GCGAUACAGCCUUGAAAACCUUCCCCAGACUAUCCGUCUCCCAGGCGCGAAAGAAAAAGGCUUAGUUCUUUCCCCGCCUGUGGAGUCUGCACAUUGGAUUUGUGCCCUCCCAAAUCCUGUUCUGGCCAGGAGGCUUCUCACCCUGUUCAAAUUGUUACAAAGUUCAGCGAGAGAUUUCCUUCUCCCUGUGUAGUUUCACUCCCUGUUCCUCUCCCGCUGGAUCCCUGUGGUGCCAGGCAGGAAUGGCGUGCGAGGCGACCCAGCCAGCUCCCAGGGCCUUUCUGCUGCUUCCUCUACUUAUGUAUUUCACUCAGCUCUCCAAACUGACUCAGCUCCAGAAGAGGCGAGUGCUGGGUGCCUCUAGUCAACCAUGUUGAUGACGUCCUUUCUAGAAAACACCCUGAUACCUUGUGCCUGUGCUUCCAAGGUGGCUGACGCUGUGCCUGUGCUUCCGAGGUGGCUGACUUCUAACUGAGUGCAGUGGAGACCCCGUGGUGCUUUACAGAACAGAUGGCAGUGCUGCCCAAGCUCAGAACACAGCUGGACGGAUCCCCAUUUUUAAAAUGUUGCUUUUAAAGUUCCUUGGUCUAUUUUAAGUCUUAGACAAUAGAGCACUAAUUUGUGUCCACAGCUAGGGAAAAAGCACCCCAAAUACUCAUGUUAUGUCACUUUCAGUACCACAAUUCAAAUAGUGAAAGACGAUGCUUCCAUGUACCACGUAUAGGUCUCUACUAGUGAUUUUUCUCUCAUUUCAACCUAGCUUCACAUAUUUUUAUGGUAUAGCUAACUCAACAUUGAUUCUAUACAAAAUAUAUUAUCUAAGAUAGUCUUUAAAAAUAUUUGAAUUCCACUGGGAUUUGUUUAAACCCCUACACAAAUAAUUACCUCUUACUAAAAACACUGAGUUUGGCAAGUGAAAUUUUGUAAUAAGGUGAAGAUUCAAUAAAAUCUUGUCUCAAACUAAUG
rnacentral:lncRNA from 10 species